rnacentral:rRNA from 1 species
AUUGAACGCUGGCGGCAUGCCUAACACAUGCAAGUCGAACGAGUGGCGGACGGGUGAGUAAUGUCUGGGAAACUGCCUGAUGGAGGGGGAUAACUAUUGGAAACGGCAGCUAAUACCGCAUACCAUCAGAUGUGCCCAGAUGGGAUUAGCUGGUUGGCGGUGUAACGGCUCACCAAGGCGACGAUCCGUAGCUGGUCUGAGAGGAUGACCUGCCACACUGGAACUGAGACACGGCCCAGACUCCUACGGGAGGCAGCAGUGGGGAAUAUUGCACAAUGGGCGGAAGCCUGAUGCAGCCAUGCCGCGUGUAUGAAGAAGGCCUUCGGGUUGUAAAGUACUUUCGGCGGUGAGGCGUUACCCGCAGAAGAAGCACCGGCUAACUCCGUGCCAGCCGCCGCGGUAAUAC